GGGGCCGUAGUCCAGCCUGGUAGGAUAACCCGUAGCGGUUCCUGAUGCCUGGCUUGGGCCCAGGUGGUCCCGGGUUCGAAUCCCGGCGGCCCCA
rnacentral:tRNA from 1 species